rnacentral:rRNA from 1 species
UACGUAGGGGGGCUAGCGUUGUCCGGAAUCAUUUGGGCGUAAAGCGCGUGUAGGCGGUCCGGUAAGUCCGCUGUGAAAGUCGGGGGCUCAACCCUCGGAUGCCGGUGGAUACUGUCGGGCUUGAGUACGGAAGAGGCGAGUGGAAUUCCUGGUGUAGCGGUGAAAUGCGCAGAUAUCAGGAGGAACACCGAUUGCGAAGGCAGCUCGCUGGGACGUUACUGACGCUGAGACGCGAAAGCGUGGGGAGCAAACAGG